CCCUCAUCUAUCCCUUACUCUCAGCACUCUGCAACUGUGAAUCUCUGCCUUCAUUGCAGUUCGCUGGAAAGAGGCUUCUUUGAUUAAGACUGAGAGGGCUAACUCUCCCUGUAUAUAAACAUGGCUGUUUAGAAAGUAGUUCAACAGUAUAGCAAUUUUUCUAAAUAGCAGUUUUAAUUGCCCCCCCCUGCAACCCCUGAUCUCCCCACCAUUGACUUUUGAGUAGGUUUCCAAUACCCGGUAUGGUUUGCUCUUGGAGAAUAGGCCUCGAAUCCAAAUGUCAAGCAGUUUUUAAUACCAUUGGCCACUGUUGGCUAAGCAGUGUAAGCAGGUAGGUUGGUAUUAUCAUGCCUAGAGUUCAUGGCUAGGUAAGAUCAUUGAUGGUUUUGUUUUCUCCCCUAGCAGCCUACAUAGCACUUUCUAGCACUAGGGUUGUGUUGUUGUUGUUGGGGUUUUAUUUGUUUCUUUCGUUGUCUGUUUGUUUUGAGAAGGAACCGCAUUCCCUUGUCCAGACUGGUCUGGAAGUGACUAUCUAGCUCAGGCUAAUCUCAAACUUGUGUUGAUCAUCCUCCAUCAGUCUUCCAAAUACUGGACUUUAGAAUGAGGCUAGUUUUACUCUGAUCAUCUUAUAGGUAAUGAAAGUGAGAUCCGCAGUAGAAGUACUCAUCUAGGACCAAGAGUUGAGUCUGACCACUCUGGACCAGGACGCUGAGUGGAGGAUGGGAAACACACAUGCUUUAGGGCAGGCCUGUUGAAAACUCAAUUCAUCUUACAUUCACCCGUCAGCCUCAC
rnacentral:lncRNA from 1 species